AUGGAUUCAGAAGAGGAAGACAACGUGUUUUCCACCCAGAGUCCUCUAAGAGUAGAUGAUGAGGAGGAAGAGGAGGAAGAAGAUGAUGAAGAGGAAGACGGACGCAUCUUCAACACCUGGAUGCAGCGCUGCAGGGGGGCGGGGCAGAAUAAAGAAGGGCAGGAGGAGCAGGAGGAAAAGGGGGAGGAGAUAGAUGGAAGAACACCUGAGAGCAACUUGGAUCCGCCAAUCAGAAUGAGGACGGAGCGGCGAGCGUCUCUACCUAGCCCCGCCACUCUGUCCUCCAUGCACCUGUCUCGCCUCCAAACCUCCACCCGAGCUCCGGUGACAGCGAGGGUACUUCUGCGCCACUCGUCCUCCCGUCGCCUCCUUCCGUCACCGCAGGACACUGAUGGCCCUGCCGCCCCCGAGCGGAGACCCUCCCUCAUACCCACAAUCCCUGAGGUUACGCCGCAUGAGAGGCGGGGCUUCAGGAGACGCAACGUCAUGUCACUGAGUGACGCCUACAGUGUUUGUCUCAUCUGUCAUAACGAGUUGAGUCGAGGAGCCGGAGGAACCAGAGAGCUGCAGUGCGCACACACCUUUCACAGAGAGUGUUUAGAGGAGUGGCUUUGGAGGAAACAGUCGUGUCCUACAUGUCACGUCCAGGUGACUGUCCCUCAGCCAGCCCACUGGAGCUCCACCCGGGUCAAAGUCCCCUGA
ensembl:lncRNA